UUUAAAUAGCUGCAGUAUUUUAACUGUACAAAGGUAGCAUAAUAAUUAGUCUUUUAAUUGAGGUCUAGAAUGAAUGGUUUAACAAGAAAAAUUCUUUAUUUAAUUAAUUUAGUUAAAUUUAAUUUUUUAGUUAAAAAGCUAAAAUUUUUAAAUGGGACGAUAAGACCCUAUAGAUCUUUAAAUUUUUAUAACUAAAUAUGUUUUAGGUUAAAUAGGGUUUUAAAUAAAAAUUUUUUGUUGGGGUGACAAUUAAAUUUUUAAAACUUUAAUGUUUAUUUACAUAAAUUUAUGAAUUCAAUUGAUCUUAAAUUUUAGAUUAAUAAAAUAAGAUACCUUAGGGAUAACAGCGUAAUAAGUUUGUAUAGUCCGUAUAGAUAAAUUUGUUUACGACCUCGAUGUUGAAUUAAUUAAAAUUUUUGGAGCAGAAUAUAAAAUUUUAGGUCUGUUCGACCUUUAAAAUAUUACA
rnacentral:rRNA from 1 species